AUACGUAGGGUGCGAGCGUUGUCCGGAAUUACUGGGCGUAAAGAGCUCGUAGGUGGUUUGUCGCGUCGUCUGUGAAAUUCCGGGGCUUAACUCCGGGCGUGCAGGCGAUACGGGCAUAACUUGAGUACUGUAGGGGAGACUGGAAUUCCUGGUGUAGCGGUGAAAUGCGCAGAUAUCAGGAGGAACACCGGUGGCGAAGGCGGGUCUCUGGGCAGUAACUGACGCGGAGGAGCGAAAGCAUGGGUAGCGAACAGGAUUAGAUACCCUGGUAGUCCAUGCCGUAAACAGUGGGCGCUAGGUGUAGGGGUCUUCCACGACUUCUGUGCCGUAGCUAACGCAUUAAGCGCCCCGCCUGGGGAGUACGGCCGCAAGGCUAAAACUCAAAGGAAUUGACGGGG
rnacentral:rRNA from 1 species